GGGACUUACGGCGUCUCAUGGCGGAUAGUUUGAUUGCUACAGAGUGUGUGGAGCUCGCAGGGCAGUGUGACCUUUGAGGAUGUGGCCGUGAACUUCUCCUGGGAGGAAUGGUGUCUUCUUGAUGAGGUCCAGAUACCCCUGUACCUUGAUGUCAUGCUGGAGAACUUGGCACUUGUGCCCAAGCUGGUGCAGACUCUCUGGUGAUAAACAAGACUGUGUUGGUGGCUGGAAGCUUUCCCACAUUCCCGUGACUUGCAAUGACGUUUUCCAGCAUGAAAGGCCUCCCCAUGCUUGGUGAUUCCGUUGGGCUUCUCAUCAUUGGAAAUGAUCUGGUGCUGGAGAAGAUCCAGUGUGGCCAUCUCACUCAGGCAACCACUUCUACCAGCCUGCCCACAGAAGCGGCCUCUCCCUGGCCUCAAAAGAUGUCAGCAUACGGCAUCCAGACGGCACUUGGCACAUUCGGACAGGCUCCUGUACUGCCCCGGGCUCCUGAAGGUCGCACCUGCCAGAGGGGAUGACAACUGCCCAGUUCUGCCCCGUGCUUCCCUUUCAGCCUCUGAGAACCAGCUUGAGAUCUUAAAGAACCACGGGUGUCGUCCGCUUGUCCUGCAACGGGUUACUGCCUUCCUCAGUCCACCUCCUGAUCAUUAAAAGCCCAGCCCUGGGAGUUCCCAUCGUGGCGCAGUGGUUAACGAAUCCGACUAGGAACCAUGAGGUUGCGGGUUCGAUCCCUGCCCUCGCUCAGUGGGUUAACGAUCCGGCGUUGCCGUGAGCUGUGGUGUAGGUUGCAGACGCGGCUCGGAUCCCGUGUUGCUGUGGCUCUGGCGUAGGCCGGUGGCUACAGCUCCGAUUCAACCCCUAGCCUGGGAACCUCCAUAUGCCGCGGGAGCGGCCCAAGAAAUAGCAACAACAACAACAAAAAGACAAAAAAAAUAAAAAAUAAAAAAAAA
ensembl:lncRNA